rnacentral:tRNA from 1 species
GUUUUUAUGGUGUAGUAAGUAACACAUUGUAUUUUCGUUACAAAACUGAAAUUUUUUUAUUUCUAAAAACU